CAGUAGCCGCGGGAAUACGAAGGGGGCUAGCGUUGCUCGGAAUGACUGGGCGUGAAGGGCGCGUAGGCGGCGGCCAAAGUCAGGCGUGAAAUUCCCGGGCUCAACCUGGGGGCUGCGUUUGAUACUUGGUUGCUUGAGUGGUGAGAGAGGUAAGUGGAAUUUCCAGUGUAGAGGUGAAAUUCGUAGAUAUUGGAAAGAACACCAGUGGCGAAGGCGGCUCACUGGCCCGAUACUGACGCUGAGGCACGAAAGCGUGGGGAGCAAACAGGAUUAGAUACCCGCGUAGUCCCUGUCUCUUAUA
rnacentral:rRNA from 1 species